rnacentral:lncRNA from 1 species
CGAGAUCAGGCUAUGAGGGAUAAGCAAUUUGAUAUUUUGGAGAGUCCAAAGGGGUCCCGAACGGGGGUGGAGGUUAGUUCAUGAUGGGUCACUCCAUCAAGAAAACAUAUCUAGUACUGCUGCCUCCUUGGGGUGCUCCAAUGAGACCCUAUUUCAAUUCUAAUCCAACGAGUUCAUAUUUCCCACCAGCACCCACCAUACCGAGAGGCUGUUUCAAGUGCGGGG